CCUACGGGUGGCAGCAGUGAGGAAUAUUGGUCAAUGGACGAGAGUCUGAACCAGCCAAGUCGCGUGCAGGAUGACUGCUCUAUGAGUUGUAAACUUCUUUUAUACAGGAAUAAACCGCGGCACGUGUGCCUUUUUGCAUGUACUUUACGAAUAAGGAUCGGCUAACUCCGUGCCAGCAGCCGCGGUAAUACGGAGGAUCCGAGCGUUAUCCGGAUUUAUUGGGUUUAAAGGGAGCGUAGAUGGGUUGAUAAGUCAGUUGUGAAAUGUUGGGGCUCAACCGUAAAAUUGCAAUUGAUACUGGCAGUCUUGAGUACAGUUGAGGUAGGCGGAAUGUGUGGUGUAGCGGUGAAAUGCUUAGAGAUCACGAAGAACCCCGAUUGCGAAGGCAGCUUACUAAACUGUGACUGACAUUGAUGCACGAAAGUGUGGGUAGCAAACAGGAUUAGAUACCCCAGUAGUC
rnacentral:rRNA from 1 species